UAAUCGACAUGGCUGUUUUCACAAAGGCGUAUCCGGUACUGGUGAUAAGAUGGUGAUAAAUGGAAAGCGAUCGAAUCGUUGUGGAACGUGUCCUGCAUCGUCUCAUAGAGUAUCUACCUACGCUCGUGCAACGCCUACGAGAAAUGUCGUCACAACGGAAGUCACGCUAAUUAAGGAACAGUUGAAUUAUUAGAUAUCAUCAUAAAAGAUACUUAAUAGACUUUCUUUUGGCAAUAGUUUUAACCGAGCUUCUCGAUAUAAUGACAAUAUGAUGGCUGCAUUAUAAUGAAAAUUAAACAACGCACAUGCAAUUAAUAAAUUAAUAAACGUGCGUAUAAUUAUGUAUAAUAAUGUAAUAUAGCUGUGUUGUUGUGAAAACUUUUUUAUUUAUAACAGCUUCAUCGCGUUAAGUUAGAGGGAUGGUUAAUAUUGAUGCGUUGUAAAGUAUAUUCUAAAUUAUGCUUUAGAAACUUGUAACGCGUAGGUGUAUCUGUCCUUCAGUAUAAUUAUCGCUAUCGACACGCAAAGUUUAGUUGACAAUUUGUGGAAGUAUUCGAACACGUUGCAUAGAAACACGAACAAUGAAGGCGAUAUAAUGAGAAGCGAUUGUCCUAUUAUUUUCGAAUGCUCAAAGAAAUGUAUAGUACUUCGAGCGCAUUAUCAAAAAUACUCGUCGAAGACCGAUCAGCGGCGUCCAGCAAUUGUACGAAUGAAUGAAUGACCUAAAUUGGACGAUUGCUAUUAGAAGCGCCGCCGGAUGCCGGAUAUCGAAUUUUACUAGAAUACUCGAUAAUAUAAAAUAUAAUGGACGCGUAAUAUAUCCGUAUAAAAAAUAAAAGCAUGAAGAUUAUCGUUUCACGUCCUUAUUCCAGAUGUGUCGAAAAGACGUUACAAGUGAUUUGAUUUUAUGAUGCUCGUAUUGUCCGAAAAUUGUUUACGAUUAUCGCUGCACGUAUUUUCGUAUCAAACUUUGAUCUUCGAAAAUAUAAGCUUUUACUUCUAAGAUUUUCUCAGCGUCUAAUUUAAGAAGAUUGUAUAAUUAUUUUUCUUGCAUAUUGUAAGAUUAAACGUAUUGUCAAUCAAACCGACGAUCAUUUCGUUAAAAAUUCUUUAAACUGUUCGGGAACAUUAGCUCUCACUCUGGAACAAUAAUGGCUGAAUCGGUCUACGCGCGAACCAAUCGACGUUCGGAUGUCAAAUGUGCAAGGCCGAAAAUGCAUGACCUACAUUAUCAAUACGCGACCUCUAUCACGAUAGAUAUGACGCGUAACGCGACCCAUCGAUAGUUCGCAGCAAAACGGGCAUCGAUCGUGCGUGAUUUAAAGCGGCUUAAAGCGUACAUCCGAAUAAUUCUCGCGGGCGGGAAUUAUUUCGGAUUGAAGAGAUCGUGAUUUAAACAGAGUAAUAAAUUAUGAUUCGAACGUUCAACCUGAAAAAUUGAUCAAUUACGUUAUACGUUUUUGUGAUGGAAAUUACUUUACAUUUUAAAAUAUAUAUAUUACAAAAUACAAUAACUAUGCCGAAAAAGAGAGAAUUAAUAAAUUAAUGCAACUCGAUUAA